UACGAAGGGGGCUAGCGUUGUUCGGAAUCACUGGGCGUAAAGGGCGCGUAGGCGGCUUUAUAAGUCGGGGGUGAAAGCCUGUGGCUCAACCACAGAAUUGCCUUCGAUACUGUAGAGCUUGAGACCGGAAGAGGUAAGUGGAACUGCGAGUGUAGAGGUGAAAUUCGUAGAUAUUCGCAAGAACACCAGUGGCGAAGGCGGCUUACUGGUCCGGUUCUGACGCUGAGGCGGCGAAAGCGUGGGGAGCAAAC
rnacentral:rRNA from 1 species